rnacentral:lncRNA from 1 species
GAGUAUCGAACAAAGGGGCGUCGAGCUGGAACCUAUCUGUCCGCUUUGCUUACGGCAGAACGAAGAUGGGGGGCACCUCUUCCUCAAAUGCAAGAUGGUGCGUCAAGUAUGGAGAAAUUUAGAGCUGGAACACCUACGUUUGAACCUGAUGAAUUGCAACUCGGCAAAAGAGGUGAUUACUAAUAUCCUGGCAAUGAAUGAGGACCAUAUGGUUUUGUGCAUUGCAAU